CUCAAGUAAUAACUACAUUUGAAGUAGAACGAACGCAUCAUCGAACUUUGUACAUGUACAAUCCAAACUGAUUCAUGUACGAUUUUGUGAACAGCGACGAAAAUAGAACAAAAAGGCACUCGGGAGUAGAAGAUGUAUGUUUUGCAGACAAAAAGGAAUAAGUUUUUUCUCUAGAGCAUUCGGGAGUGUUAAUGAUGUUAUGGUCAAUAUUUAACAAGGCAUAAUUAUCAAGUCUUAAUUUCUAAGUGGGUAAUAUAAAGUUAUUUAUUACCCGGAAGUACAUAUGAUUAACAAUGUUUGCGGUACCCUUUUCCAAACAUGCCUGAUAGAAGUUACUUCCCUUCAUAGAUGACUUUUUACAACUCUCGAGUCUGUGUAUAGGGGUUGCUAUAAUCUUUCACGUUAAAGAGUACAAUCUCUACCUCUGUCAACGUCUCAAAAUAAGCAAUGUUAUUCCACAUGUACAUGUGAAUUCACGGUUUUUUUUUUUUUUUGGUUUUUUUUUUACGGCUAAUAAAAGUAAGAACUACGUUAUGAAAUAUCGGGAAAAUGUAGGGCAAGCAACUAUUUGUAGUUUCCCCCAUUACUUUGCAUUCUUCAUGUACCUAUGUAUAGGCCUGGUGUAGCUGCAAUAAUGUAGCCCUCUCUGAUUUUUUUUUUUUUUUUUUUUAGGGAGAGGGCUACAACUCCUUAGGAGCUCCGUAAUGGUGCAAAUGCGGGAGUGAUUCACUCCCGCAACAUUUGCGCUCAUUCUAAACAUGUCCUGCCUUUCUUUACGUAAAUAAAAUGAUAUUCUAUGUUUCUUAGUCAAUAUAUAAAUUUACAACCUGCAACUUAAGAUUUGUGAGGCUCUAUUAUACCGUUUUCAACAAUUUCGAUAAAUUCCAAUUUCUCCAUUCAUAUUUGUGCGCCAUGUUUGAUGUACUGAAGUUUCAACUUCCGAUUGUCAAGUCAUUUGCAUAUGCCAUAUAAGGUAGUAUUUACAUCAAUGGACAAGUAUGGAGGCGAAAGCGAUUUCGUCGGUAUUGAAAAGGUCCCGUAGAAGAGUUUUUACUCAUUGAGACGUCACCAGCUCAGCUGUAGGUGAAGAUUUAACGCUCAGGGCGGUAGCAGUGAGGGUUCUUUAACGAGCCAACGCCUGUCGUGACACGGGAUCUCCGUUUUUAAAGUCACAUCUGAAAGAUCUGUGAUCUCAUUUCUAAAUGCCGAGCGUUUGGCAAGGAGGCAAUAACAUUUUCGAAUUCACUACCUCCCGGUUACGAGGCAAAUGCUAUAUCACGAGUUACCACAACCGGUGGGAUGUGACUGAAAAAUUGUUGAGUGACCAGAAUGGACCCACGUGAUAUCUAUAAAACAAUCCGUUAUCAUGAUCACUACAGAAAUAAUGAAAGUUGUGUAUAUAUUUUUCCAUUACUUUCCUCACAGUUUAAACCUAGUUUUUUUUUUUGUUAUUUUGUAUCCUUCAAGUCAAUUCUCUUGAUAAAACUAUUUAAGUGAGAGUCGUAGAACAGAAAGAGAGCAUAUGAAUACAAUAAAAGAGACGAUGAUCUA